rnacentral:rRNA from 1 species
UACGGGGGGGGCAAGCGUUGUUCGGAAUUACUGGGCGGAAAGGGCUCGUAGGCGGCCAACUAAGUCGGAUGUGAAAUCCCCAGGCUUAACCUGGGAACUGCAUCCGAUACUGGAUGGCUUGAAUUCGGGAGAGGGAUGCAGAAUUCCAGGUGUAGCGGUGAAAUGCGUAGAUAUCUGGAGGAAUACCGGUGGCGAAGGCGGCAUCCUGGACCGACAUUGACGCUGAGGAGCGAAAGCUAGGGGAGCAAACGGG